GCUUAUUUCAUUAGUGCAUCUACUAAGAUCAAAAUGAUACAGGGAAGAUUAGAAUGUCCCACUCUCAAAGAUGACAUACAUUCAUAAAGCAUUUCAUAUGGUU